UACAGAGGUCCCGAGCGUUGUUCGGAUUCACUGGGCGUAAAGGGUGCGUAGGCGAUCGGGUAAGUCUGAUGUGAAAUCUCACAGCUUAACUGUGAAACUGCAUUGGAUACUAUUCGGCUUGAGAGUUGGAGGGGGGACUGGAAUUCUUGGUGUAGCAGUGAAAUGCGUAGAUAUCAAGAGGAACACCAGUGGCGAAGGCGAGUCCCUGGACAACUUCUGACGCUGAGGCACGAAAGCUAGGGGGAGCAAACAGG
rnacentral:rRNA from 1 species